AGGACGAACGCUGGCGGCGUGCUUAACACAUGCAAGUCGAGCGGAAAGGCCCUUCGGGGUACUCGAGCGGCGAACGGGUGAGUAACACGUGAGCAACCUGCCCUUAGCUUCGGGAUAGCUCCGGGAAACCGGAAUUAAUACCGGAUAUGACUAUGGCCGACAUCAGCCAUGGUGGAAAGUUUUUCGGCUAGGGAUGGACUCGCGGCCUAUCAGCUAGUUGGUGAGGUAACGGCUCACCAAGGCGACGACGGGUAGCCGGCCUGAGAGGGCGACCGGCCACACUGGGACUGAGACACGGCCCAGACUCCUACGGGAGGCAGCAGUGGGGAAUAUUGCGCAAUGGGCGAAAGCCUGACGCAGCGACGCCGCGUGGGGGAUGAAUGCCUUCGGGUUGUAAACCCUUUCAGCAGGGACGAAGCGAAAGUGACGGUACCUGCAGAAGAAGCGCCGGCUAACUACGUGCCAGCAGCCGC
rnacentral:rRNA from 1 species